AAAGUCGGCCGGGAAAAUUUAGCAAGCAGUACAGGAGAAACAAACGUUUGCUUGGCAUGUUCAAGUGAUAAAUUCAAUUUUCCACUUGAGCGCCACAACGAGCCCCAUUCCGCAAUGUGUGACUAAUGGCGUUUACUGGUGGCCCGGUCAUCGUCAUCCUAUUUCUACUCUGCGGCGGCGGCGGCGGCAAUCAAACAGAAAUCAUAAAGGCGUGUUGUUCAAACAUAAACAUAGGGCUCGCCUCCUGACUUUGGAUCCCAUCGAACAAAGGCCAGCCCAUCCCGGACCUUCGGCUGGAGGUGUUCACUGGAGCAUUGACUCGGACUUGGGAUGGAUGCAUUGUGCGGGACAGGCCGAAGGGUGAUGUCCUGGCGAUUGCGUGAUUCACCAGACACAAUACAAUAUUAAUCGGUUGGGGAUUAGAUGGAAUUACCCAGACAAGUGACUAGACUUGAUUACAACAGCAGGUGCUUGUGUAAUCGCACUCUUUUCAUCAGCUAAAGUUAGAAUUAAAUGUGUAUUGUUACUUUC
ensembl:ncRNA lncRNA:CR45991 long non-coding RNA:CR45991